rnacentral:piRNA from 1 species
UGAACUUCGAGUGAGUAGAUUAAGCUGUGU